rnacentral:rRNA from 1 species
GACGAACGCUGGCGGCGUGCUUAACACAUGCAAGUCGAGCGGUAAGGCCCUUUCGGGGGUACACGAGCGGCGAACGGGUGAGUAACACGUGGGUGACCUGCCCUCAGCUCUGGGAUAAGCCUGGGAAAACCGGGUCUAAUACUGGAUAUGACUCCAUGACGCAUGUUGUGGGGUGGAAAGCCUUGUGCGGCUGAGGAUGGGCCCGCGGCCUAUCAGCUUGUUGGUGGGGUGAUGGCCUACCAAGGCGACGACGGGUAGCCGGCCUGAGAGGGCGACCGGCCACACUGGGACUGAGACACGGCCCAGACUCCUACGGGAGGCAGCAGUGGGGAAUCUUGCGCAAUGGGCGAAAGCCUGACGCAGCGACGCCGCGUGAGGGAUGACGGCCU